GCCUGGGUGGCUCAGUCGGUUGAGCGUCCGACUUCGACUCAGGUCAUGAUCUCACGGUCUGUGAGUUCGAGCCCCACGUCGGGCU
rnacentral:tRNA from 1 species